rnacentral:rRNA from 1 species
GUUAGGAAUAUUGGACAAUGGGCGAAAGCCUGAUCCAGCCAUGCCGCGUGAACGAUGAAGGCCUUCGGGUUGUAAAGUUCUUUAGCCGAUGAUUAUAAUGACUGUAGUCGUAAAAUAAGCCCCGGCUAACUUCGUGCCAGCAGCCGCGGUAAUACGAAGGGGGCGAGCGUUAUUCGGAAUCACUGGGCGUAAAGCGUGCGUAGGCGGUUUUGUAAGUUAGGAGUGAAAGCCCAGGGCUCAACCUUGGAAUUGCUCUUAAAACUGCAAGGCUCGAAUCUCGGAGAGGAUAGCGGAAUUUCCAGUGUAGCAGUGAAAUGCGUAGAUAUUGGAAGGAACACCAGUGGCGUAAGCGGCUAUCUGGACGAGUAUUGACGCUGAGGCACGAAAGCGUGGGGAUCAAACAGGAUUAGAAACCCGAGUAGUCC